UGCUGGAGGUAUCAGAAGUGCGAAUGCUGACAUAAGUAACGAUAAAGCGGGUGAAAAGCCCGCUCGCCGGAAGACCAAGGGUUCCUGUCCAACGUUAAUCGGGGCAGGGUGAGUCGACCCCUAAGGCGAGGCCGAAAGGCGUAGUCGAUGGGAAACGGGUUAAUAUUCCCGUACUUGGUGUUACUGCGAAGGGGGGACGGAGAAGGCUAUGUUGGCCGGGCGACGGUUGUCCCGGUUUAAGCGUGUAGGUGUGUGUUCCAGGUAAAUCCGGUUCACUUUAACACUGAGGCGUGACGACGAGGCACUACGGUGCUGAAGCAACAAAUGCCCUGCUUCCAGGAAAAGCCUCUAAGCAUCAGGUAACAUCAAAUCGUACCCCAAACCGACACAGGUGGUCAGGUAGAGAAUACCAAGGCGCUUGAGAGAACUCGGGUGAAGGAACUAGGCAAAAUGGUGCCGUAACUUCGGGAGAAGGCACGCUGACACGUAGGUGAAGUGAUUUACUCAUGGAGCUGAAGUCAGUCGAAGAUACCAGCUGGCUGCAACUGUUUAUUAAAAACACAGCACUGUGCAAACACGAAAGUGGACGUAUACGGUGUGACGCCUGCCCGGUGCCGGAAGGUUAAUUGAUGGGGUCAGCGCAAGCGAAGCUCCUGAUCGAAGCCCCGGUAAACGGCGGCCGUAACUAUAACGGUCCUAAGGUAGCGAAAUUCCUUGUCGGGUAAGUUCCGACCUGCACGAAUGGCGUAAUGAUGGCCAGGCUGUCUCCACCCGAGACUCAGUGAAAUUGAACUCGCUGUGAAGAUGCAGUGUACCCGCGGCAAGACGGAAAGACCCCGUGAACCUUUACUAUAGCUUGACACUGAACAUUGAGCCUUGAUGUGUAGGAUAGGUGGGAGGCUUUGAAGUGUGGACGCCAGUCUGCAUGGAGCCGACCUUGAAAUACCACCCUUUAAUGUUUGAUGUUCUAACGUGGACCCGUAAUCCGGGUUGCGGACAGUGUCUGGUGGGUAGUUUGACUGGGGCGGUCUCCUCCUAAAGAGUAACGGAGGAGCACGAAGGUUGGCUAAUCCUGGUCGGACAUCAGGAGGUUAGUGCAAUGGCAUAAGCCAGCUUGACUGCGAGCGUGACGGCGCGAGCAGGUGCGAAAGCAGGUCAUAGUGAUCCGGUGGUUCUGAAUGGAAGGGCCAUCGCUCAACGGAUAAAAGGUACUCCGGGGAUAACAGGCUGAUACCGCCCAAGAGUUCAUAUCGACGGCGGUGUUUGGCACCUCGAUGUCGGCUCAUCACAUCCUGGGGCUGAAGUAGGUCCCAAGGGUAUGGCUGUUCGCCAUUUAAAGUGGUACGCGAGCUGGGUUUAGAACGUCGUGAGACAGUUCGGUCCCUAUCUGCCGUGGGCGCUGGAGAACUGAGGGGGGCUGCUCCUAGUACGAGAGGACCGGAGUGGACGCAUCACUGGUGUUCGGGUUGUCAUGCCAAUGGCACUGCCCGGUAGCUAAAUGCGGAAGAGAUAAGUGCUGAAAGCAUCUAAGCACGAAACUUGCCCCGAGAUGAGUUCUCCCUGAGACUUAGAGUCUCCUGAAGGAACGUUGAAGACGACGACGUUGAUAGGCCGGGUGUGUAAGCGCAGCGAUGCGUUGAGCUAACCGGUACUAAUGAACCGUGAGGCUUAACCUUACAAC
rnacentral:rRNA from 1 species